ensembl:lncRNA
CUGUGCUUGUUAAAUAACUUUUUUUUUUUACUUUCUCAAAUAUAUCUACCUUUCUACAUACAAACAUUGUCUUUAUUUUAAUUUGGGCUAGUCUAAUUCAUUUCUGCCCUGAGACUCCUCUCUCCCUAUUGCUUGCAGGCUUUAGAAACAAACCCAGUAAAUCAGUUGUGUUAUAAAACCACAUUUGCAAUUCCUAUUCUAAUCUGAUGAUGAAAAAAAGUAGGCUCUCCAAAGAACACAGCCAACACCUGUCUGCUACCAUGGACCAUAGCAUGUUUAAGGUGAUGACCGUUGACUCCGUCUGCAACCAUGGACCAUAGCAUGUUUAAGGUGAUGACCGUUGACUCUUGUCUGCUACCAUGGACCAUAGCAUGUUUAAGGUGACGACCGUUGCCUAUACAUGUUUCAAAAAGAAAAAAAAAUGUAUAGCAAUUGUGGUGCCAAGCAAAGUUUUUGUGAAAACAUUUUUGCAGAAACUGUCAUGAUUGAUUGUUGAUGAUAGAAUAAUAGUGCAUGCAUAGAAUGGUCCUCUUUCCUUAUCUCCGUUGGACCUCUGGAGGCGGACCGCUAGCUGUUGACACUCAAAAACACUAGUGGUUUGAGACAUGGGAACAAAGACAAUGUUCCAAAGGGACUGCAUUGCAAUGGUACUGUAUGAAGUCCAACCACUGUGUGUUUGAUGUGCUCUGGGUCAGCACUAUUCCAGAACUAUCACUCAGCUGUCCUGAGGGGUUAAAGGUCACUCAGCUGUCCUGAGGGUUAAAGGUCACUCAGCUGUCCUGAGGGUUAAAGGUGUAGUGAUUAGGAUUUAGUGGCAUCUAACAAUCACUCAGCUGUCCUGAGGGUUAAAGGUCACUCAGCUGUCCUGAGGGUUAAAGGUCACUCAGCUGUCCUGAGGGUUAAAGGUGUAUUGAUUAGUGGCAUCUUACAGCUAGGUUGGAUAUGGAGGAUGACCUACGGUGGCCGCCAGUUGCCAUAAAAGGCAAAAGGCCCUCUAGAGCCAGUGUUCUGAUUGGUCUGUUCUGGGUUACUGUGGAAUCAUACAGGCGUGUGAUUGGUCUGUUCUGGGUUACUGUGGAAUCAUACAGGCGUGUGAUUGGUCUGUUCUGGGUCAAUGUGGAAUCAUACAGGCGUGUGAUUGGUCUGUUCUGGGUUAAUGUGGAAGAGGACCCGCUCCCUAUAUAGAUGUGAAAGGCUCAUUCUAAGCUAUUGAAAACACAACGAUUUGUAAUUACAGGUGAUUAUACACUAAUGCAAACAUAAUUAUAAAAACUAUAUUCCAUUUCUGCUAAUAGAUGCCCCUACAUCCUCCGUACUGCACCUUCAAGCGCCCCCCCCCCCCCUUAAACCCACUGAAUAGGGGGCAUGGUGAUGGGUUGAACAUGUGGAGUCAACCACCCAUAUUACUAGUGCUGUCAGUUAAACGCGUUACUAACGGCGUUAACGCAAACCCAUUUUAACGCCGUUAAUUUUUUUAGCGCGAGAUCAACGCGAGAUUUAUAUGAACGUUCUUUUUCGCCCCGCAAACUGUGUAGUAGGCUAACGUUACGGUUUGAGUAAAUGGUGAGCGCGAUACGGCGAAAUGGAUGAUAAAAAGCUUCUGAAUGGAAAGUUUACUUUUAAAAGUUGUGUGUCUGAAAAUGUCAACAGGCAGCUGGCUGAAAGCAAAGAAGUAGUAGGCCUACCUUUU